rnacentral:rRNA from 1 species
AGCAGCCGCGGUAAUUCCAGCUCCAAUAGCGUAUAUUAAAGUUGUUGCAGUUAAAAAGCUCGUAGUUGAAUUUCGGGGUUAGUAGAUUGGUCAUGCCUCUGGUAUGCACUGGUCUCACUGAUUCCUCCUUCCUGAUGAACCGUAAUGCCAUUAAUUUGGUGUUGCGGGGAAACUGGACUGUUACUUUGAAAAAAUUAGAGUGUUUAAAGCAGGCUAACGCUUGAAUACAUUAGCAUGGAAUAAUGAAAUAGGACGUUCGAUCUUAUUUUGUUGGUUUCUAAAAUUGACGUAAUGAUUAAUAGGGAUAGUUGGGGGCAUUAGUAUUCAAUUGUCAGAGGUGAAAUUCUUGGAUUUAUUGAAGACUAACUACUGCGAAAGCAUUUGCCAAGGAUGUUUUCAUUAAUCAAGAACGAAAGUUAGGGGAUCGAAGACGAUCAGAUACCGUCGUAGUCUUAACCAUAAACUAUGCCGACUAGGGAUCGGAUGAUGUUAAUUUUUUAAUGACUCA